rnacentral:snRNA from 2 species
GUGCUUACUUCAGCAGCACAUAGAUUAAAACUGAAAUGAUACAGAGAAGACUAGCACAAGGAUGAUAUACAAAUUCAUGAAGUGUUCCAUAUUUUU